rnacentral:tRNA from 1 species
GGAUAUAGCUCAGUGGUAGAGUGCCUGCCUAGCAUGUAUGAGAUCCUGAGUUCUAUCCCCAGUAUACACCA